rnacentral:rRNA from 1 species
UGAGUAACACGUAUCCAACCUGCCGUCUACUCUUGGACAGCCUUCUGAAAGGAAGAUUAAUACAAGAUGGCAUCAUGAGUCCGCAUGUUCACAUGAUUAAAGGUAUUCCGGUAGACGAUGGGGAUGCGUUCCAUUAGAUAGUAGGCGGGGUAACGGCCCACAUAGUCUUCGAUGGAUAGGGGUUCUGAGAGGAAGGUCCCCCACAUUGGAACUGAGACACGGUCCAA